GUGAGGAAUUUUCCGCAAUGGGCGAAAGCCUGACGGAGCAAUGCCGCGUGAAGGAUGAAGGCCUAUGGGUUGUAAACUUCUUUUCUCAGAAAAGAAUUAUGACGGUAUCUGAGGAAUAAGCAUCGGCUAACUCUGUGCCAGCAGCCGCGGUAAGACAGAGGAUGCAAGCGUUAUCCGGAAUGAUUGGGCGUAAAGCGUCUGUAGGUUGUUUAAAAAGUAUUCUGUCAAAGAUUAGGGCUUAACCCUAGAUAGGCAGAAUAAACUUUUAAGCUAGAGGUUGGUAGAGGCAGAGGGAAUUCCCGGUGGAGCGGUGAAAUGCGUAGAUAUCGGGAGGAACACCAAAGGCGAAGGCACUCUGCUGGUCCAAUACUAACACUGAGAGACGAAAGCGAGGGGAGCAAAUGGGAUUAGAUACCCGUGUAGUCC
rnacentral:rRNA from 1 species